UGAUGCAAGUUCCGGGCCAGCCAGGGCUCGGGGGAAGGGACGGCUCCGCGAGUGAAGUCGCCCGCUGCCGAGUUCGGUCCUCAGGCUUCACCUCCGUGGCGGAUGCAGAAAUCUGAGCCUUCAGAUCGGCCUCCGACCUCCGCUGGCGCACCGUGGCGGGUUUGUGUGUGCACACCAGUCAACACGUAGAAACUAUAAUGGAUAAUGAAAGUGAUGAACACCACCGCUCUGCUUGGGCGCAGGAGCAUAACGUGACUGUCCCACGGUCCAACGCCUUCCCCUCCCCUCCGUGCUCUCCCAAGCCACCGCCCCAGGUCUAGCGGCUACGAACUGGAACCUCUUAUUUCCACCCCACCCCUUCUUUUCUUUGGCAGGGUGCGGAGGAGACCGAAACAGAAAGACGAAGGGUUCAAGGGCAUCCUCGGCUACACGAACCCGUGUGAAAGCCUCGUUCCUGUGGCAAGAUGUGAGGUGGAGAAGGAGAACCCCUGGAAGCUCAUGGAGGUCAACAACAACAAAAGGUCUCAAGGUGGACAGGGACACAUGUAGACAUCAGAGGAUGAUUUUCGGGGGUCAGUUCUCUUUUUUCAGCAUGUGUGUUCUGGAGACUGAGCUCAGGCCAUCAGCUUGGAUGAAAGCACCUUUACCCACCAAGCCACCUAACCAACCCUGUCAUGUACUCUAAACCAGCGGUUCUCAACCUUCCUCAUGCUGCAACCUUUUAACACAGUUCCUCAUGUUGUGAUGACCUCAAAACCAUAAAUUAUUUUCAUUGCUACUAUUUCAUAACUGUACUUUUGCUAGUGUUAUGAAUCUUAAUGUUGGUAUCUGUAUUUUCCAGUGGUCUUAGGUGACCCCUGUACAGGAGUUGAGAACUGCUGCUCUCAGCCAUCACUCUACUACAGUACCUAGUACAACGUACAUGCUAUAUAAGUAGUUGUUCUAACUACAUAGUUGAGGGAAUCAUGACUAGAAAAAAAGAAUUCCAUAUAAGCACAGUUUUGUUUUCAAUUUUUCACCCUGUGCAGAACACACCCAGAGAGAAGGUCAGCUAUAUUUGUUUGUGGCAGGGCUCCUGGUUGGUGAACAAUGAAACAAAAGUAUCGGCUCAGGGAGGAGAGGAAAGAGGGGAAAGUGGGAUUGGGAUGUAAAAAAUAAAUUUAAAAAAAAGUAUCCAUUCAGGACCCAAGACCAAGUUCUCAGCACAAAGAUUUAUUUGCCUUUGUGUUUACAAAUCAUAACUAAACCAAAAGCCAUCCACACACACACACACACACACACACACACACACACACACACAGACCAAACCCUCCCUUGGAGUCAAGGCCUUGGAGUCAAGGUCAUCCAACAAACUCCUCAACUUCCCUGACACCUCUUCAGUGCCUCCCACUACUUGCUCUAUGCCUCUCUUCAAAGCAGCCUCAGUCCCACGCCUGCAGAUACCCAAGUCGCCUGUGCUGCACCUCCCCUACCGACUGUUUGUCCCUUUAACCAUCCAAGUCCCCAUUGGGGAGGCAAAGCUAAGUUCUCUUCAACCUUUCACCUCCCAAUCAUCCAUGUUCCUAAAAUAUCUCAAUUUCAGAACCCACGUGAACGCCCCAGGGAAAACUGUUCAGAUGUAAGGGAAGCCUCUCAAAUCAUAGUCUCCCCAGCACAACUAGAUCCUGCUUUCAAAUAACAGUUGGUCCCCAGUUAAUCUGAUAUAGACAAUCUAAAUGUUCCUGGUGCCUCUCACGAACUCUCAAACAGACUCCAGAUAAGUACCCUGCCAAUCAUCUACCUUUUCCUGCCCACUCCUGUAGGUGGGAUCUCUCCCCCAUUUCCCUGGUCUUGGGACUCUUCCCAACUACCAUGACCAUGAACCUAAUAGUUUCAAAUGUGCAUGCAAGAUAAAGCAUUUUUUUUCUAAACUGCUUAAUUACACAUCUGUCCCAAAAGAUUUCAAAUCAACUAGACUUCUCCAACAACUCCAGCGCCAGCCUCAGCUGUCUCCUCGGAACCUACAUCCUGGUCUAGCCUCACAGACUACACUUCCCUAGCUGGACUUCGGCUGACACAGCAUGCUCUUCUGGGCCUUGAUCAACAACUCUCAGCCUCCUUGGGCCCCCUAACAGCAAUACCCCAGCGUCAGCAGGAGGCAACCAGAGAGAGAAUGACACCCACUUACCCAGCACCCCGAUAAUAAAACAAAAAGGUUAUAAAGGAGUGGCUUUAGCACACUAGAGCGUUGGCUCUGGCAGACCUAACCCUUCUCCCCAUCCCCUCUGCCUUGGUAAAAACAUUCCUGACCAUUCCUAGCCACCAAGGGCUAUUCAUUAUUUGGCCACUUCCUCCCAAGGUCCAGCUAUCAAAGUAUUGAAAUCUAGCAAUCAAAAGCCCCAUUUGGCUCAUCUAAUUAACAUGUCCAAUUAAAAUUAAAUAUCUCAUCCUAAAACAGGGGUUUCCCCUUUACCUUUAUAAACCGCCAUUUUCCUAUGGGCCAUGCCUGUCUUCUCUGAAUCCAGAGGCAGUCCUUUGUCCCUCCAGGACAGAUCCCCCUGCCCCUCCGCCUUGUUUCUUCCCCUUCUCCCUCAUCCUCCAUCUCCUGUCUUUGACUCUUACUCCCUGCCCUCUGUCCCCCUGGGAAAAUAAAUCUCCUUUGUGCUGAGAA